rnacentral:lncRNA from 1 species
GUCUGGUGUUCUGCAAUAAAUUCUAGCUUUUAUAGACUUUUCCUGGACCAGGUAGCUGCUAAUGCCAUAGAAAUUGAUUAUUUGUGGUGUUCUUAUCACUGUUUAAAAUAUCUAAUUGCUUUUUCUCCACAGAUUUGGAUUUGGCUUGCUUGAUGGUGGACGAUUAAUGAAGGAAGCCCUAAAUGGACAAAUGUUGGUCUCCCGAGACCAUGUGUUGUUGAUAACAGAACAAGCUUGUUAACUGUGAACAUGAAGAGAUGAAAGCCGUUCCUGCAAGUGGUUCUGUGGUUCGGAAACUGACAACAGCUGCAUGCAAAGGAACAAAGAAUGAGACUGACAAUUCGGUGUGAGAGCAGCUAUUCUUCCCUCGGCCGUGAGAUGACAGCAAGAAUGGAUUGUCAAACUGGACCGUUAUGACAAUUUACUCUUGGGGAAAAAAUCCUGUGGGUGUUUAAAAGCUUUACUGUAAGUUAUAUUUGAUUAAUUUAUGCUUCUACUGACAAAUAAUUAGGUCAGCAAUUAAUUUUAAAAUGCAAAUGUGCUACAGGCCUUCUUGUUUUAAGAAAUACUUACCCUUUGUCUUAGGUUUGUACUUGUGUUAAAGUCUUACUGGAUUUAGUUGGGUGAAGGAAUGAAAUUACAUUUCGUAAUAGUUUGUUUACUUGAUUUUUUUAGCAAAUAUUGAUGGCAAAUGUUUGUUCAGGAAGGAUCAUAUGUGGUGGAAUUUAAUGGAAUAAUGUAACCUAGCAGUGAA